UCUUUAUAAUAAAUUUAUUUUAAUAAAUUAUUUUAUUUAAAUUAGUAAUUUAAUAAUUAAUUAUUUUGUUGGGGUGACACAAAAAUUUAACUAACUUUUUUAAAAUUAUUUCUUUAAUUAAAGGUUUAAAAAUUAUGAUCUAUUAUUAAUAAUUCAAAGAAUAAGA
rnacentral:rRNA from 1 species